rnacentral:rRNA from 1 species
CCCAGACUCCUACGGGAGGCAGCAGUGGGGGAUAUUGCACAAUGGGGGGAACCCUGAUGCAGCGACGCCGCGUGGGUGAAGAAGCGCCUCGGCGCGUAAAGCCCUGUCAGCAGGGAAGAAAAUGACGGUACCUGAAGAAGAAGCCCCGGCUAACUACGUGCCAGCAGCCGCGGUAAUACGUAGGGGGCAAGCGUUAUCCGGAUUUACUGGGUGUAAAGGGGGCGCAGACGGCGAUGCAAGCCAGGAGUGAAAGCCCGGGGCCCAACCCCGGGACUGCAUUGGGAACUGGCGUGCUGGAGUGCCGGAGGGGCAGGCGGAAUUCCUGGUGUAGCGGUGAAAUGCGUAGAUAUCAGGAGGAACACCGGUGGCGAAGGCGGCCUGCUGGACGGAUACUGACGCUGAGGCCCGAAAGCGUGGGGAGCGAACAGGAUUAGAUACCCCAGUAA